rnacentral:rRNA from 1 species
UACGUAGGGGGCUAGCGUUGUCCGGAUUUAUUGGGCGUAAAGAGCGUGUAGGCGGCUUGGUAGGUCCGCUGUGAAAUCUCGAGGCUCAACCUCGAGACGCCGGUGGAAACCAUCAGGCUAGAGUCCGGAAGAGGAGAGUGGAAUUCCUGGUGUAGCGGUGAAAUGCGCAGAUAUCAGGAAGAACACCCGUGGCUAAGGCGGCUCUCUAGUACGGUACUGACGCUGAGACGCGAAAGCGUGGGGAGCGAACAGG